rnacentral:rRNA from 1 species
ACGGGGUGCAGCAGGCGCGAAAUCUUCACAAUGUGCGAAAGCACGAUGAGGGGAUCCCAAGUGUUGGUUCGUAAGAAUCAUCUGUUUCUUUGUCUAAAAAACAGAGAGAGUAAGAGCUGGGUAAGACGGGUGCCAGCCGCCGCGGUAAUACCUGCAGCUCAAGUGGUGGCCGCUAUUAUUGGGCCUAAAACGUCCGUAGCCGGUUUAGUAAAUGCUUGGGUAAAUUGUGUAGCUCAACUAUACGAAUACCGAGUAGACUGCUGAACUUGGGACCGGGAGAGGCUAGAGGUACUCCUAGGGUAGAGGUGAAAUUCUGUAAUCCUAGGGGGACCACCAGUGGCGAAGGCGUCUAGCUAGAACGGGUCUGACGGUGAGGGACGAAGCCCUGGGGCGCAAACCGGAUUAGAUACCCGGGUAGUCCAGGGUGUAAACGCUGCUCGCUUGAUGUUAGUUGGGCUCCGAGCCCAACUAGUGUCGGAGAGAAGUUGUUAAGCGAGCUGCCUGGGAAGUACGGUCGCAAGGCUGAAACUUAAAGGAAUUGGCGGGGGAGCACAGCAACGGGUGGAGCGUGCGGUUUAAUUGGAUUCAACGCCGGAAAUCUCACCGGAGGCGACGGUUAUAUGAAGGCCAGGCUGAUGACCUUGCCUGAUUUUCCGAGAAGUGGUGCAUGGCCGUCGUCAGUUCGUACCGUGAGGCGUUCUGUUAAGUCAGACAACGAACGAGACCCUCAUCUUUAGUUGCUACUGGUAAGUCCGCUUAUCAG